GGGAACGUAGCUUAAUUGGCAGAGCGUCCGGCCGUUAACCGGAAGGCUGGCGGUUCGAGUCCGCCCGUUCCCG
rnacentral:tRNA from 1 species